UGCAUUUCGACACGGCACCAAUGCACUAUUGAACAACGGCAAGGCAUGCUCACCGGGCCUGGCAUUGCAACGGAGUUAGCGAAAAACAGCUUGGCUGUGGCGAGAAACUGAUGCCGGCCGCUGGAGCUUCGUAGGAGAGCUACUGCUGCUUACCUGGUGCAACAACGUUGGAUGAACG